rnacentral:lncRNA from 1 species
GGAGGGUAUUUGAUCCUGACAUUCUCAAAGAACAUGGUAUGUCUACCCUUUAUGACUUUGUCUCCCUGCAAAGUUGGGAACACCUGUUUUAAGGUCCAACACCUUAUUUGGAUGAACCAAAAGUGCGGGAGUUCUAUUAUAAAAUGGAGCUCCUUGAUGAUGGAGUCAUUCAGACAACUGUACGUGAGGUAAAAAUCUCACUAAAUGAAUAAAACUUGGG